AAUUAUAUAAAAAAAAGAUGUUUUAAUUCCCCCCAAAAAAAAUCCUACUUAAAAAAAUAUACUUAAUAAAGAUUAGAAAUUGGAUUGUAUAACAUCGAAUAAAAUAAACAAACACCUAAUUACAUCUUUAUGACAAAAUCUCUCCAAAUUAUCCUCAUCAGUACAUACAAUUGAUAAUAAGCUGUGAUUGGAGUCAUCAAGUGGUACCAUAAUUCAAAUCGGUACUAAAAGAUAAGAUUCCUUUUUCAACCCAAAAUCAAAAUUUAUAUCACUAAUUAGUUUCGGUUAUAAUUUUUGAUCCAAAUUUGAAAAAUUAAUAAACUAUAAAUAAAUUUUGAAACAUCAUGGAAGUUUUCCACAAAUUAAUCGGCGUUUAUCGAUGAUUUGUUUCGAUUUUUUCGUAUAUUUUUACAUCAACGCGGGUAGAUACGGUUUUACGCUGCCAAGUUGUCCAAGAUAACGUCAGCAAACAUAUUUGUAGAUAAAACCAAAAGGUAAAAAUUAAUGAUUCGAAUAGGUUUGUUUUAACAUUCAAUUUGUGGAUUAUUACCGAGUUUUUAGCUUUUAGAAUUAUUUCUUAAAAAAUAGCAAAUUACAUGACGUUUUGGCUAACAAAAUUCAAUAUGUCAAUUUUGAUGGGAAUUGAUAUUGUUAAGGGGUUGGUAUUAUAUAAUCAACUUCAAUAUGUAACUAACUUUACUCUGAUAUGUAACAUGAAGAUAUGUCAAAAUCGAAAAAUUGUUUAAAAUAAACGCUUUAUUUUUUUAUUUUUGAGUAUAGUUUUGGAGAAUUCAAAUCUUGAAAGGUAACCAGAUGAUAUUUGUGUUAUUUCAAAGAGAUACAAAAAAGAUACAAUUUUACAAAUUCCGAUAAAUUUGUGAAUCCGACUAUAUAAGAACGAUUCUCGUCGUAAUUUGAUGCGCCAAAUCCGAAUCUUCAAUCCGUUUGUCAAGAUUGGUUCUGGAUGUUGAGUUUUUUAUGAAUUUGGAGAAAACUGUGAUAAUUUUAUAGAAUGUUCAAGUUUAAGUUGGUAAUAUUGACAUUUGACAACCAAAACCUAACCUAAAACGGGUGAAACAUCUAUUGAAGUUAGAACUAAGUUCUGUACUAGAUUUCUGAUUAGAAGUCUUAAUAAAAUCGAUUGUCCAGUGAUCAACAGAGUAGAUAGGAUUUCGCAAAUCUUCAUCUCACGGCCGUUGGCAAAGAAUUGCCCUUUGAUUGCUAAAAUCUACUCAAAACUCAAGCCUGCUAUCACGAAUUUAUACAGAAAACUAACGUAAGAUAUGCACAAAAACGUCAGAAUGCUGGUACCGAUGAUAACAUUUGUCCCCGGAUUAUAUAAAUGCUUAAGAUCAAAUAGUGGAAUGAUUAGUAUGGUAGGUAAGGAGACACAUGGCUCACUGUGAGUAAUAUCCAUUAUAUCAAUAUACAUUAAUCUGGCAAGUUUAUGUGGCACACCCAACAUUUCUGCCCAUAAUCUAUGCAUAAUUGGUCUAAUCUAAUUGAAAUGGAAGAGAUCACGCCAAGAUAUGAACAUUGAGCUUUACUGAAGAUCAAUGUCUUCCCUAUUUCUUUUGCAUUAUUGUCAACCAAAUAUAUAUAAUUUUUAAAUCUUGUCAUAUCAAAUUUAAUUUUUUGAUUUUGCGUGCGACUCAAAUAUUGUUAGCACUUACAAAUAUGAAAUAUAUAUUGAUAACUAAAUCCGGAACACCGGUGUGUUCCAAUUAACACCUGUUAAGGUACAACAUUUUAUAGAGCAGUUUUCUGACUCCAUAUCGGGGAUUUUAUUUUCUGUUCUGAUUUCUUACUACUUUAUAUGGAAGAAAACAAUAUCUGAACGUAACAGAAUUUUACAAUCGGUUUAUUAGGUACUAUUUGCUUCUAAAAAUGACGCCCGCUUUGGUUAUGGUACGAAGAUUAGUAUAGUUAAAGAAGUAUUCUAAAGAGACGUUUUGGGUAUCCUCCUCGUACCCAUAUCAAUCAUAUGUCGCUAAUGGUUUGCCGGUGGUCGUACCAACAGAAAACGUCGGCAACUCUCUAUAACUAACCGCCCAGAGGUCCGUAGCAAUUUCUAUAAGGCUUUGGCCUCGACGGUUGUGAUGUGCGUGUGGCCCGUGCAGAGGCUCGUUUUUUUUAUUCAUUAUUAUCCGCCCGGUAAUGGGCACUCUGCAUUCAAUGCCUGACAGAUUACGAAUCGCCUCUAAUUGUAACAGCUACGCCGUUGUUAUUCACCGUCUGCUUUUAAAACCAUUUGAUGAUUACCUCCAGACACCAUCAUCAUCCUAACCGAGAACCCAGCUACCGUUUUAAAUUCAAUACUAAUUAUAUUCUUGGAAUUUGAUUCACAACAAAAAUUUUUUUUGUGA